GCCGGGCGUGGUGGUGUGCACCUGUAGUCCCAGCUACUUGGGAGGCUGAGGUGGGAGGAUGGCUUGAGCCCAGGAGAUGAAGAUUGCAGUGAGUCGAAAUUGUGCCACUGCAUUCCAGCCUGGGUGACAGAGCCAGACCCCGUCUCAA
ensembl:misc_RNA Metazoa_SRP Metazoan signal recognition particle RNA